GGGAGGCAGACGUCAAAGGCAAGUACAUCUGCACUCAGCCGGGGAAAGGUCAUAGGAGGCAGCACCAACUUAGAUGAACGCAUGCCAGCUGGAAAUGUUCAAAUUUAAACCAAAGGUAAGAAAAAAGCGGGAACUGUUUGUUUUUUUCUUUUUUCGCCAUUUAAAGUGAAAUAAAAGUUAGUAUAGUAAAAUACCAGGGAAGCAAAUCACAAAUGAGCUUGCCUCCAAAACAUUGUAUUCUUUUGAAUAUUUAUUUCCCUCACACCAGUACACCAUCUAUAAAGGCUAAAUGGAGGACGCAGGUUUUCCCACCUCCUUUUGGAGACAGAUAUUUCUUUGUUGUGGGAGGCUGUCCUAUGCACUGUAGCAUGUUUGGCAUUCAUUGCUGGCCUCUACUAGCAGCCAGUACCACCCUCCACACACACCACCAGCACCAGCACCAGCUGUGACACCCAACAAUGUCUCCAGAUAUUGCCAAAUGUCUCCUGGGAGGCAAAAUCACUCCAGGCUGAAAACCAGUGAGCUACAUUUUCUUUCAACCUUUAUGAGAAAGUCUCUAGGUUUUUACCCUAUCAAAUUAGAUGAAUAUUUGCAAUGUUAUGCUCAAGACAUUUCCUGACUUUGUUAGAGGAGCUGCGUACUUGUUCAUUUAGCAUUCAGGGUUUUUAUCCUUGUGAUCUUGCCGGCAUGUAAAUCAUCUUAAAAUUAGCAAAUAGAUUUUCUCAUUGUAUUUGCAGUAUAAGCCUGUGGGUGUUAUCUUCCUUCUCUAUUCUCUUUUUCCAAUUUUUCAAAAAAAAAAAAAGACACAUAAAAAUUAAUGUUCAGUACCUUCAGCGCUUCCAGCUAAAUUUUCAUGAUGGAGAAAACAAACCUUUCAAAGGUGUGAUUGGAAUACAGAUCACAGGUUACCAUAGAAACCAGAGGCAAAAGCUUACACCAACAAGAACUACAGGUCUCCUUAAUUUUGUCUUCCAUCAGAUUUAGUUGUUCUCUUAAAAGGUUGAUUUUUUUUAAGGGGGGUGAGAAUUCAUCUUGAAUGAGAUAAUGAUGCAACUGAUUGAUAGUGCUAUUAAUCUUUAGAAGCUUUUACAGAAUUUGUAGGUUUGCAGCAAAUGGUUGCCAAAAUAUUACCUCUCAAUGUAACUACAUUACUAUAUAAAAUCCAAUUUGGUGA